AAUGAACGCUGGCGGCAGGCCUAAAACAUGCAAGUCGAACGCUGUAGCAAUACAGAGUGGCGCACGGGUGAGUAACAUGUGGGAAUAUGCCUUUUGGUACGGAACAACGUCUGGAAACGGACGCUAAUACCGUAUGGUCCCUUCGGGGUAAAGAUUUAUCGCCAAAAGAUUAGCCCGCACUAGAUUAGCUAGUUGGUGAGGUAAGAGCUCACCAAGGCGACGAUCUAUAGCUGGUCUGAGAGGACGAUCAGCCACACUGGGACUGAGACACGGCCCAGACUCCUACGGGAGGCAGCAGUUAGGAAUAUUGGACAAUGGGCGCAAGCCUGAUCCAGCCAUGCCGCGUGAGUGAUGAAGGCCUUCGGGUUGUAAAACUCUUUAGCCGAUGAAUAUAAUGACUGUAGUCGGAAAAUAAGCCCCGGCCAACUUCGUGCCAGCAGCCGCCGUAAGAC
rnacentral:rRNA from 1 species